UUUGGGAACACCCACUUUGACUUCGCCAUGU
rnacentral:piRNA from 1 species